AUUUAAGUAAAUUUCUCUGAAGUCGAGAUGUUUUGCGUGUUCAGGAUCUUCGGGAUUUUCAUAACACACCGACGAAAUUCCUAAAAUAUUUUUGCAAAUCGUAUUAUAAGUGUUUGGAAUGUAGGAUCGAAAUCUGAUUUUGCGAAGGUCAUAAAAUUUUCAGCUGGAAACUGCCUAAGCAGGGCUGAUAGAUCAUAGGGUGGUGUAAAAUGUCAAAGAGCCCACUCAGCCAUGCUGUAACAUUGUUUACAAAACAAGAAGGGAUCAAAGUGCAUCAAGCACGCAGGUAUCACAGUUUUUGACUAUGGAGUGACUGAAUAAUAUCGGUUCAGUGACACGGAAUCCGAGGAAAGUCUGCUCCUUCUGGCUCAGAAGCUGAGCACAUUCUAAUCAACGAUGAUCACUUGCGGGUACGGCAUCUGGACGAAGUGACCAAAGAGUUCGGCGAUAUCGGAUGCAUUGCGCUGGAAAUGUCGUCGAGGAUCUGCCAAAAGACUGAACGUGCGGCACUGGCCAACGAUGCCAGCCGGAGGGCGGUGAAGUUACACCCAUUCAUGUGGCAAUCGUUGCCGAGCUAUGCCAGCGUGGAGCAAAACCGGAUCCGACGGAAGUGUUUCAGCUUUCCAGCACCGAUAUAUUUGCCACUACUCAGCCAACGGCCUUAAACUCGUCGGUGGUUUGGUUCGGAAAUGGAUGUGGCGGAGGUGGGUGAGGAGGAGUAGGAGAUGGUUGCAGUUGGCCACAGCAGUUUUCGACUUUGGCUACCGGUUGUCAUCAGCCGCAACAACCUCCCGGUUCGCAAAUCCAACAGCUGAAUACGAUACAGCAACAGCGAAUAAUAGCCGAAAGUGAACAGCAGAAAAUAGCUCGCCUGUGCAGUAACAAAAAGAUGCGUGGCCACCACAAUUUAGGUACAAUGGGCAACAUAAUUAACAGGAAAAGCGACACCACAGCAACAACGAUACUGCUGCAGCAACAAAGUACAAACACCAAACCGAUUGUGUUUAGUCAAACAGGCAGCCAGUUGAUGACGCCGCGAGCAUCCAACACGACCGGCGGUGCCCUGCAGGCCCAGAAUGUACGGCGAAGUUCCAGGCUUUUUAGCAACAACAACUAUUCAGUGAAGGAGAACACCAAGAGUCCUCAACUGAAUAAUAAAUUCGUGGCAUCUCGUGGCCGCGUAAAUCGAAGAUAAGAAUUUCCAAGAAACUAAACAGUAGUACGGCCAAAUUGCUGGAAAAUGUCCACGAACGAAAGUCUUCAACCGGAAGCGAUGGAAAGGAGAAGAUCGGUGUGUGGCUGGAAAUUGCUUUUAAAUAAAUAACUCAAUUUAUCGAUGUUUGCUAUAAAUUUUGUUUGUUUGUUUUUAUUUGGGAUUUUAAGCCUCUUGGGUUUAUUCAUCCCAUGUAAAUUUUGUAUAAAAUUUUUGAAAAGCAUCUCAAAAAGAAAACAAUCUAAAUUAUUCUGGGGCAAAUGCAGAUAAGUGCAUUUUUGAUCCAUUCAUAUAAACUUUCCUAACAAUUCAUUGUAGAAAAAAGUUAAAGCAAAGAAAAAUUGAAAAAAGCUUCGCGUCUUGCGGGCCGCACGCGGCACGCGGGCCGCGUAUUGCUCAUUCCUGCUCUGAACUGAUUUCAUAUGGGCUUU